UCCAUAACUUCACCGAGAAACAAUCUUCACUCAAAAAGUACAGGCACACCGUUUUGCUGCCACACGGUGCUUAUUGUCCCCCGUAUACGUUUCCUACGAAAGCAUAUAUCAGAACACAACAGUAACAGACUAAAUAAAAAGGUAAGCAUUACGCGUCAUACAUGUCGAAACAGACUCCCAACAGACAAAGUUUUGUUUGCCAUGAUUAUGGCCCGCCCCCACAUACCCCUCCAGUCACAUUGUGCGCUUUUUGGCAUAUUGAUGCUCUUACAUGUUCACCGACAGGGCGAAGCAAGACGAAAUCAUGCAAAGCUGAUUGCCAAGUUGGAAAGCACGUACCAGCUGAGACGGAGCGGAGACCGUAAUAGACACUCACAAAUGAAGUCUGGGACCUUGAUCAGAGAGAUGGGGCUGUUCAACUGCUAGCGAUGGAGGAUAUACUAAUACUCCGGACGCCCUCCGACUGGGACGCCUGAAGCGAACAGAUUUGAAAGAAUGCGACUUGAUCACUCCCACGUAAACAUUGGAGACGCUUCAGCUGAACCGCUUAAUUGGACAAGCAAGAACAUGCCGAGUUCGUCCUCGCGAUAACCUGAAGACCGAACCGAAGGAGCCACCGAGAUGAGUUGUGAAUGGGCGAAAUGAGAGAGCGUCUCCCGAGAUACGCAACAAACGCGUGCACACACAUGCACACACAGAAGGGAGCCUCCCUGCCGCACAGACUGAUAGAUGCAAUCUGUACCAAGUUGUCCUGCUUUCCACUGCAGCUUAAUGCAAAAGAGCAUCAAUAUGCCACUACAUUGCAUAAUGUGAAUGGAUGCCUCUCAUGGCUAACAAAAACAUGCAGAUGGGUCGAUCAAUCGCACUGCAGUCGUAUGGUGGUGAAAUACGAGCAUGACGGUAAAACGUUGCACCAAACGUUACACUUGCGUAAUUUAAUCAACCACUUGGGCCCAAUAUAUUUAAAAUAGUCGAUAAAAACACUAGAUUCACUGUAUGUCCGCUGAACAGAGCACCAUUCUGAGGUGCGAUAGAUUCUGUAAGCCUUGCGAGUAUCCUUCGAACAGCUCUGUACGAUAGUAGGUUUUAGAUCAUCGACGUGAAGGUGUUGCACAGCUUCUCACGGAUAGCUGGUAGCCCAGGGUGAUUCCAGAGGUCGCUGGCAUGUCUCGCGGGGGCAAAGGGAGAUGCAGUCCGUCGCCCACUGGUCAUCCGCUAGUGGUCACAGCGGAGUGACGACGAGCAGCAACGCCGAAGAGAGUCCUCCCGCGGAGUGAAGACAGAAGGGCGGGCCACAGCGAUGGGCUUUCUUGCACGAUGCAUUCCCCAGAAGGCAAGGAAGAAGCAGGAACCGGAAGGUGGAUUGUUGUGAACGAAGGUACGCCAUGGCCGCAGGACAGGGGUAUCUGGAGGACUGUCUUGGCCACCCAAGAGGCACAGGCCGGACGCGGAAGGCAAUGCGGGUUUGGACAUAGCACCGACCGGAUGAGAUCGAAGGUCGAAAAGCUGGAGACUUCCUAUCGGAGAUCAAACGCUCGUCUGAAGGAUGUUCGACUGCGGAAGUUGAUGAAGCAAAGGCUAGAGGACGUACGCGAAGGACCGGCAAGAUCGCCCAUUGCAUGCACCAGAAGCAGAGGUUGGCAA
rnacentral:lncRNA from 1 species